UCCUGGUGGCUCAGAUGGUAAAGCGUCUGCCUGCAAUGCAGGAGACCCAGGUUCGAUUCCCGGAUCAGGAA
rnacentral:tRNA from 1 species